CCAGACAAAGUGGUUUCAGCUGUGGGUGAUGCUCUGCACCUGAAGGUCAUCUGCAGUGGAAGGUGACAGUGGGAAUGCCAUGAAAGGGCAGAAGUUAUACAAUGGCCAUGAUCACCUUUAAGUCUACAUAGUCAGUAAAUCCUGGAUGGAUAAGGGUCUCCCAACCCUCUGAAGAGUGUUGAGACCAAAGAUUCAUCCACAAAAAGAAAUUAUAUUUCUCUGGUCAUUUACAAACCAACUUUUCUUCUUUCUACAAAUAUAAACUUCUAUGUAAAAAUGCAAAGACUCUUCCCAUGAUGUUCUCCAUGUUGGAGAUUUCUUGUGUUACUCACUGUAGGAUACGGAGAUUUCAAAUGAAUGAAACUCUUGCUAAAAUUCAGCAGGCUAUGGAGGAAUUAGACUAGACUGUACACACAAACUGCAUGGAAAAUUUAA